UACACAUGCACGUGAGCACAGUGUAACAGCACACACGUGCGCACAUGCACACACAUACACACACACACACACACACACAUGUACACGCACUAGCUAAUUCCAAGCACGUGAUCAGACGCAGAGCGGCUGCAGGUUAGGACACAGGCCUUGGAGGCUCACCUCCCUGCUCCUUCGAGGUGAACGGAGCUGCAAGUCCCCCCCCACUGCUUCCGGGGAGACCUCCUCCCACCUGCCCCGGCCCUCCAGGCAGCCCGGCCCGGCCCCAGCCCUGUGCCAGCACCGGAGGGCGGGGCCCAGUUCAGGGAGCACUGCCGGGGCUGGUGGGAGCACCAGGCAUCACGCCAGCGAUUUCAGGGGUUCUGGCCCGAAGGACCCUCUGGGCCUCUCAAGCCUCCCGAUCCUGCCUGUGGAAACCUGGGUCCCCGCAGAUGGUCCGCAGCCCUCUGCUCCGACUCAAAGGUACCGCCUUAGCAGCUCCUCGCGUCAAGGACAUCAAUGGCUCACACAGGCCUCCUGAAAAGCAUGUCCUUUGCCAGCAACCCCAGGACAGACCCCUCGGCUGUCCCCAAGGCAACAGACUGCAAAAGGUGCCCACCUGGCCGCCGGCGUUGCGACCCUGGCCUUCCCUCCCGGCUCCUUGCCCCUGCCGCUGCCUCCUCUAAUUAGCUGGACAGGCUCUCCCAUCCGCUCCCGGCCGCCUGUCUCGCUUCGGCCGGCACGCACGGUCCCGGUUAAAUUGGCUGUGGCAGGCCGUAAUAAAGAAGAAAACAGCGGCUGCAUCAGGCUGUUCCGAGGAGCCGCCGAUGCUCACGCGGGAAGGGUCGGGAAAGGAGCCAUUCAAUUAAGGUCGUACGGCCGCUCGGCGGCUCCAGGCCUGAGCUGCGCAUCUCGGAGCUUCGGAGAUGACUGACCGAGAGUUUCCUCAGGUCCUGUCUCCCACAAGGCUGUCCGUCUGCUCUUGUCCUGCGAGGGCUGGUCUGAAAGCUGCCCCAGGCAGGGGUCCUCAAAGUUCAGUUCUGCAAAUGUUUAACGCGCGCCCAGCUCUGUGCCGAGGGUCCAAAGAUGACACCCCUGCCCCCAAGGGGCCCCCAGUCCAGCAAAGGAGACGGAGACAGACAGUUCCAGACGGUGCUCGCGAGUCCCAAUUCCCAGAUACAAAACCAGCAGCUAAUUUCACCCACAAAAAUGCAAUAAAAUAGCAAAAAAACGUAGGCAGCCUCUGGAGCCAUUAAUGAUUCUAUCAAUACAGACUUAAAGUAACCGGAAAGGCGGUUUUCUGGGUACCGAACGUCUGUUCCUACCUUCCCCUGCUCUGGCUCUCCGCCCUGGGUGGGCUUCUGCGGGGCCAUUUUUCACAAAGGAAGCCAAAAGGCACACACACGAGUGUGACACCCAGAGAGCCUCUGCGGACAGUGAAGGAGGUGUAGACGUUGGGAGUUAGUGUACAGAUCCCUGCUCCAGCCCGGCGGCUGUGUGACGGAGGCCCCUCAACCGACCUGGAGGCGCGUGGGUUCCACAGCCGUAGAAGGGGGGUUGAAUGGGACCCACACUUGGAUCACCUUGAGGAACACCCAAGCCAGCCUUGG
rnacentral:lncRNA from 1 species